AGAAACUUUUGAAUGUUUCUGGACCUUAAGUUUUCCAUUUGUAUUUUAUUUGUUCUCAUCAGUAGCUUUGACUUCCCAUACCUACAAUUGAGACAAACAAAGAUGCAUCAUUUGUUUUAGCCUACUAAUAAUGUAAAAAAUUUAUAUCUCUAUGUCAGCUCCAAAUAUAUAAUGUCAGAUGAAUAUUAUGAAGUUGGAGGGAUUCAAAUACAUGAAAGCACUAAUUGUUGGGGCAUAUACCUAAGGGAGGGAAUUCAUUGCACCUUGGAAGAGUACGAAAAUGAUACGGUUAAGUGUUUCCAAAGCAGUAAAAGAUGAUCCUAAACAACGACCGUAUAUUGGUCGGAAAAAUCUAUUUUGCACCUUUGAUGUCAGGUCACCAUUCUUCACACAACAAAAAACUUAUAAAAGAAAGAAAUAAUGUCAAAUGUUUAGUUAGAAACAUUAUGGGAUGCAUUCCUUUGUUUAUGGAGAAAUAGAGAAAAGAGAGAAAUAUUAAAUGUACCCAUAGAAGCCCAAAUGAUCCAGUUUGUAGACUGAACUUUACACCAGCUGUGCAUCUCAAAGUGCACCACACUUACUCGACAAGAUAUACCAGUUUGAAGAUCUAUUUUCGCACAAAAAUAGCAAGCUAAAUUGCACCAGAUCAAUCCCUUUUAUGCACCAGGAUAAGGGGCUAUAUUGCACCAGAUCAGUCCACAAAUUACACCAGCACGGUGAAUGUCUUGUGCAUGCUGUCAACGUUUCACUGAAACAAGAUCUAAAAUUUUUAAAUGAAACAAGUAGCAUACUGAACGAUGACUGCAUUUCAACUGAAGAGGAUUACUAAAAGAUCGAAAAUUUGGUCAACAAAAGAGACAAUAUGAUCAUU
rnacentral:lncRNA from 1 species